ACGGGAGGCAGCAGUGGGGAAUAUUGGACAAUGGGGGAAACCCUGAUCCAGCGACGCCGCGUGAGUGAAGAAGUAUUUCGGUAUGUAAAGCUCUAUCAGCAAGGAAGAUAAUGACGGUACCUGACUAAGAAGCCCCGGCUAACUACGUGCCAGCAGCCGCGGUAAUACGUAGGGGGCAAGCGUUAUCCGGAUUUACUGGGUGUAAAGGGAGCGUAGGCGGCCAGACAAGUCAGAUGUGAAAGCCCGGGGCUCAACUCCGGUACUGCAUUUGAAACUGCCAGGCUUGAGUGCAGGAGAGGCAAGCGGAAUUCCUAGUGUAGCGGUGAAAUGCGUAGAUAUUAGGAAGAACACCAGUGGCGAAGGCGGCUUGCUGGACUGAGACUGACGCUGAGGCUCGAAAGCGUGGGGAGCAAACAGGAUUAGAUACCCUGGUA
rnacentral:rRNA from 1 species